UUGAGAUGCUUAACCAGCUGAUCGUGAUAGUAUUUUAUGAAGUAGUCAAAGUAAGUUAGCUUGUAAUUCAUGUCCACUGAGGUCAUAAUGAAGUAUAAAAGAUCCUGUGUAGGAUGACCAUAUCUGGGAUUUUGGAAAUCCACAAAAAGCAUAUCCUGCACCUUUCCAGACUGAUCAAAUUU